GGUGACUGGGGGUGGGGGGAGUGGGAGGGGAACAGGCAAGGCUUGAAGCCUUAAGCUUUGUGAGCCCCCUCUGACUGGGGCCAGCACUAGUGAUCACUAAAUUCUUUGCUAAAGGCUCAUUCCACUUUGGGGGAACUCUGGUUAAGACCUGUCCUCUACUAUCUAGGCUAAAUCUGCCCCCAGGCUACCUCACACACACACACACACACACACACACACACACACAUACACGGAAUUGCCAUUAAGAAAUGGAGGGAGACUUAGUGUCCUCCUCACCCCAAGGGCGUUGGGAAGCCCAAUAUCUGCUACUGGACCACUGGCUCCCUUCUAGCCAUCUUAGAGGGGUAUAACUACUGUGGAGAAGGGACUUGGCAUCCCUGCCACCACCCACCCUGACUGUCUACUACCUGCCACCUGCUGGGCAGCCAACACAGGGAACUCAAGUAAGGAAGGUUCCCAAGAGUGAGAAAGAACGAAUGUGUUCUUGGCCAAAAAACCCCACUUCUACCAUGUCCUCUCAGCCCCUGCACAGACAGUCUGGUGUCAGGAAUCCUUGGCAUUAGGAACAGUGUGCCAGUCCUCUGUUAGCCCCACAUCCCCGACUACUGGCCUUGCUUCCAACCUGACCCCCAAUGCCACCCUGAGGAGGACUGCCCUGCUGACAAGUCCACUGGAGGCUACUGCAGGCCCAAGCUGUCCAGCAGACAUCGAAAAGCCAGCCAAGAAAGAUUUCAACAUGCGCGCGCCUGGUUCAAACUCAAGUAUGAAGACAUCAGAAAGAGAUCAGGAAACUGAGGCCCCGUGAAAUGAAGCAACAAGGCAGAGUCACAUAGGUGAACGUUGGCAUAGCUAAGAAUGGGAAUCCAGGUCGUGUGAUUGCAAAAUCACUGGUCUUCUCAUGCUUUACGAGUCCAUUAGAGAUGCAAAGAAAGGGUCAUUAAAGCAAUGGCUGACACAUACAGAGCUUGAAGGAAGUUUGUUUGCCAGGCAUCAUCAUAAAUGUGUAUACAUGCACGUGCACGUCUGUUCUCUUUUGCGCCUCCUGACAAUCCUGUUGGACACUUCUGAUCUGCCUUUCUUGGAUCACAGAUUUUGAGUAGAGAGGAACCUCAAAGAUCUUUCAGUAACAAACCUUGCAUUUUACAGAGGAGGAGAACUGAGGCCCAGGUGGAGUGUCCAUUUGCCUCCUGCCUGGCGGCUGAUCUCUGAGCCUGGGAGCCCUCUCUGACUGGGGACCAGCAUCAGCGGGUACUGAAUUCCACAGAUCAGGAAACCGAAGCCCUGUGAAAUGAAAUGACAAGGCACAGUCACCUAAGUAAAAACUGGCAGAGCUGGGAAUGGGAAUCCAGGUCAUGUGAUUCCAAAGCCACCUUUUUUUAAUGUUUCACGAAUACGUGAGAGAAGCAGCUGGUGGCACCACAGACGGACCUCUAGGCCUGGAGUCAAGAAGACCUGAAUUAAAAUUUGGC